UACGAAGGGGGCGAGCGUUGUUCGGAUUUACUGGGCGUAAAGGGCGCGCAGGCGGCUUUGUUUGUCAGGCGUGAAAGCCCCGGGCUUAACCUGGGAACUGCGUUUGAUACGGCAGGGCUAGAGUUCGGGAGAGGAGAGUGGAAUUCCCAGUGUAGAGGUGAAAUUCGUAGAUAUUGGGAAGAACACCGGUGGCGAAGGCGGCUCUCUGGACCGAUACUGACGCUGAGGCGCGAAAAGCGUGGGGGAGCAAACAGGGUAUAAG
rnacentral:rRNA from 1 species